UGCUCCUAGCCUGUCUGCUCCCCGAAGGCUGCAGCAUCAACAUCUGAUUGUGGAGCAGCACAAGUCCUCUGCUCCGCUGUUCCUCAGUCAUCAUUUUUUUGACUGUGUCCACCCUGCUCCCUCUGGAGAGGUGUCCUGUGGGUGCGUUAUGGGUGGGGAUCUUGUGUUGGUGUGGAUGGAGAUGUGUUCUGUAGGUACGGUAUGCGAGGGAGAUCUUGUGUUGGUGUGGAUGGAGAUGUGUUCUGUAGGUGUGGUAUAGGUGGGAAUCUUGUGUUGUGUGGAUGGAGAUUAGGUGGUAAUCUUGUGUUGGUGUGGAUGGAGAUGUGUUCUGUAGGUGUGGUAUAGGUGAGAAUCUUGUGUUGGUGUGGAUGGAGAUUAGGUGGGAAUCUUGUGUUGGUGUGGAUGGAGAUGUGUUCUGUAGGUGUGGUAUAGGUGGGAAUCUUUUGUUGGUGUGGAUGGAGAGGUGUUCUGUAAGUGUGGUAAGCGGUGGAGAUCUUGUGUUGAUCUGGUUAGAGAUGUGUUCUGUAGGUGUGGUAUAGGUGAGAAUCUUGUGUUGGUGUGGAUGGAGAUUAGGUGGGAAUCUUGUGUUGGUGUGGAUGGAGAUGUGUUCUGUAGGUGUGGUAUAGGUGGGAAUCUUUUGUUGGUGUGGAUGGAGAGACGUUCUGUAAGUGUGGUAAGCGGUGGAGAUCUUGUGUUGAUCUGGUUAGAGAUGUGUUCUGUAGGUGUGGUAUAGGUGAGAAUCUUGUGUUGGUGUGGAUGGAGAUUAGGUGGGAAUCUUGUGUUGGUGUGGAUGGAGAUGUGUUCUGUAGGUGUGGUAUAGGUGAGAAUCUUGUGUUGGUGUGGAUGGAGAUUAGGUGGGAAUCUUGUGUUGGUGUGGAUGGAGAUGUGUUCUGUAGGUGUGGUAUAGGUGAGAAUCUUGUGUUGGUGUGGAUGGAGAUUAGGUGGGAAUCUUGUGUUGGUGUGGAUGGAGAUGUGUUCUGUAGGUGUGGUAUAGGUGAGAAUCUUGUGUUGGUGUGGAUGGAGAUUAGGUGGGAAUCUUGUGUUGGUGUGGAUGGAGAUGUGUUCUGUAGGUGUGGUAUAGGUGAGAAUCUUGUGUUGGUGUGGAUGGAGAUUAGGUGGGAAUCUUGUGUUGGUGUGGAUGGAGAUGUGUUCUGUAGGUGUGGUAUAGGUGGGAAUCUUUUGUUGGUGUGGAUGGAGAGGUGUUCUGUAAGUGUGGUAAGCGGUGGAGAUCUUGUGUUGAUCUGGUUAGAGAUGUGUUCUGUAGGUGUGGUAUAGGUGAGAAUCUUGUGUUGGUGUGGAUGGAGAUUAGGUGGGAAUCUUGUGUUGGUGUGGAUGGAGAUGUGUUCUGUAGGUGUGGUAUAGGUGAGAAUCUUGUGUUGGUGUGGAUGGAGAUUAGGUGGGAAUCUUGUGUUGGUGUGGAUGGAGAUGUGUUCUGUAGGUGUGGUAUAGGUGAGAAUCUUGUGUUGGUGUGGAUGGAGAUGUGUUCUGUAGGCAAUUAGGCAAUUGAUUUAUGACAUUUCUGCAGUAAUUCGGAGGUUAGGUGCUAGACCUCUUGCUAUGUACUGUAGGUUCCUCUGUUGUUGUGCUGGCUCUCAGUCUUCUAGACUCCCGUUGCCCAGGCGCCACUAUAACUGGUGUCAUUGGCCUCUGUCUGGUGUUUUACGGCCAUUUCUGUUCUUAUGGCGCAGUUUGUGUUUAAUAACUGAUAUCUGCCUCCUCUGAUCCCCCAGUCAGACGGUCUCGGAGCCAGACCCGUGAAGCAGGAAAUACCAGUUGCCGCUUCCUAAUGAUUGACUCUCUGACGUUUGCACAGAUUGUUUGUCUCUCUGUCUCUCUUUGUUCUAAGACCAGAAGUUAUUUCUCUUAUUACUGACGUCAAAGCUGCAAGGAAGAAAACAGAGACAUUCCAGAAAAAGUCACGUCCGCAGUGGAUGAUGAGGCUGAAAUGGUGUCUGAUGACCUCAAUGAGCACAACUCCCAAACCUCUGAAGAGCCUCAGGGGGUCAAUAUCAGCGGCUUAUCACACCACAGCAAUUUUUUUUAUAUUAACCCUGCGUCUCCAACUCCACCAAAUACCAUCUAUAAACACCCAGUCCCCUUUAUUUCCCACAUAUAGUAAGAAAUGGCUGCCGUGUGGUUGUACCCUUAGUGCUUCGACACUGGAAGAAUGCCCUCUUAAUGCCCCUCAGAUAGUAUCAUGCCCCCUUAGUGUCUCCAGACACAGUAUGAUGCCCCCUAAGUACCACCCAUGCUGUAUGAUGCUCCUACAUGCCCCACACACAACAUAAUGGCCACUAAGUGAAACUUCCCAUAAGUGCCCUGCCACUCAGUGUAAUGCCCCCUUAAAUGCCCCCACAUACUAUCAUGCCCUCAUAAGUGCCCCGUACAGUAUGAGGCCUCAUUAAGUGCUCUCAUACAGAGGGUGUC